UUAAAAAAAUUUCUAUAGCAAAGUUAUUUAAAAAACAAAAAAAAUCCAUUUUUAAUGUUUAUAAUAGUUAAUAUUAAAUUAAUCAUCUCUUAACGAGCUUUCUCGUUUCGCGUUUAUGAAAAAAAUUUCCUCCAAACGUUUGCAAAGAACAUGCUUGCAAUUUUAUAACCCAUACACAAUUUAUUUAUGACUCAUAUUGGGUUUAUUCUAAUGUUAUAAUGUUUAACAUUGAUUGACAAAAUUGGUUGGAUGUUGACUAUUUGUGGAAGGAAUUUUUUUUAACGAGCCACAAGUAAUUAAUUUGGGACUAGAAUGACACAUUGUAACAAGUUGUAGGACUUAUAUCCAUGAGCAUGUGGGCUAUCCCUUAAAAAAUAGGAUCAUCCUAUUCCUCAUAGCAAAUGGAUAUAGAUGAAACGUACCAUCUCAUCCAAAAAUAGGGGUGAGUCCAACAAAUCUCAUUUUGUUACUGAACCAAACAUAUGUCUAGAUAACAUAGACGAGCAAAUUUUGGGGUUUGCCAUGCACUUUACUCUGCUUUGUCAGGAUUCAUAAAAAGAAUAACAUAUAACUUAAGGACUAUAUAAAAGGUUCUACCAAAUAAAAAGGAUAGCUGAAAAAAGGGUGGGAAGUGGGAAGCCGACAACUUCUCGACGAGGCCAUGUAGUUACAUUACAUACAUGGAAAUGGGAUGCAUCGUGAACCACAAGAGUGCACUGGCAGCGUGUCCAUCAUCCAAGAUCUCCCGUGUACCAGUGCUUUCGUUGCGAAGUGUUAACUGUAACAGAAAUGCCUCAACGAAUCCCUGGAGAUCAACAAUGUAAACAGUGUUAGAGGACGACCUGAAAAAAAGGAUGCUCUCAGAUCUCUGCACGUUGGAAGCUGCAUGGCUGUUAUAGCACUCACUGAAUUGUUAGUAGUGGGAGAACAAAACGUUGCCAUAGAAACAGUAUUUGAGAGGUACAGUAAAUAGGACUAUUUGAUGUCCAUCAAUCUACAACACCCUUCUUACUACAUGCAUCCAAAUAAUUAGAUUCAGUUUUCUUAUGACCUGAACAUGGUAUUACACUGGCACUGGCUUGACGCCUGACGCAAGAGCCAGACAGUACCGUGGUGCAUAUUGAUGCAGCAAGACAGGGAUGGAGACUGCUACAAACCCUGAACCUGAACUUUCGAAAUUGUGGGUUCCUAGAUGUUGGUUGUCCCAGGCAUGCAUCAUAUGCAUAGAGUAUAUUUUUGCAUGGAAGGGAUCUCCUGUAAAGGGGACUUAUUUGGAGAACUGUGGAUGGUACAACUAUUUUUAGAUAAUGGAAGUUCUAUUGGUCUCAGUCAAUUACAUCAAAGUGACCCAAUUAUCCUAAGAACACUCUCAGCCUCUGCAUAGCUAAGAUGCACACAGCUAAAACACACUAAAAGAAAGACAUCAACAGUAGUAUUAAGGACCAUCAAUUCUGAGACUAGAUCGCCACUCAUGUUUCCGGGUAAAACAAUCCUUGAGGAUGGUACAACUAUUGAUGUAAAGAAUGAUAAUUGGAUCCCUAGGAUUGGAGUGGACUGCUUAAACCACUGGGUUUAAGGCAAAAUAAUGGUGUAAUCAAAGUUAACGAUCUCUUUCCCCCAGUAACAAAAGACAAUGGAGUAUGGAAAGUUAACCACUGGUUCCUUUUACUUCAGCUGUACCCGUAGCAUCUAAUUUUUGCAACUACUACUUACAACCACAAGUUUUGCCAGCAUGCGCAUAUUAAAUGACAUUCAAGUUAUGGACUUGACAAGGGUGUGUAAUCAUCCAUUAUUUAUACAUGGUAUGUCCUAGUUCCUGGAAAGAUUAAAGAGAGAACCAAGAGGCGAGAAUUGGCUGGCUGAGAACUUCACAAUAAGAUAAAGUUACUAUACCGUGAGAUUCAUGGAUUACUACUUGCCAAUUUGGCCUGCAUGUACCUCAGCUACAAACAUAGGAAUGGGAAGAAUUGGGAAUCAAAGGAACACACCGUGAGUUUGAGAAUCUCAUCUAAGCCUAAACUAGUAUCCAUGUAGAUUUAGAGAAGUCGUGAUAGAGUAAAAUCUAUCUGAUUUCACUGUUUAGGGCAUGUACUAAGGGAGAGUCAGGUGUGAGCUCUAUAUCAUCAAAGGCUAUUAUCUUACCGCAGUUGAGACAACCAUUAAUGUACCAAAAUAAUCUUAUCUUUCUCUUCUUUCCUUUCUUUCAAACCACAUCCAACAAAAUAUUUUCUAAUAAAUGUUAAGAGUCGACUCUGAACUAGUGUUAUGCGUAAUGAUCAUGUUUCUCUUUCCAUCCCUCUCUUUGUUCCAUGUCAUCAAAUUUAUUUGCACGAUAAUAGCGAGAGCCCACUAGUAAAGACCAUCGUACAUACCCUAACGCAACCAGCUCUUUCCAUGGGCUCUUAGCAAGUGAGCACAAAGUUCCGAGGAAAGCCAAUGGAAGUUAAAAGAUUUCGAUCGACUGUAGCCUCCUGUAUGCCAGCUAGCGGGCGGACGAGUUGAUCGGUUAGAUCUGCACUCAUAUGGAAAGGUGCCUGUCGUCCCUUUUUUCGUUCCUUAUUUUUUGUUCACGUUAAUUUUUUGUUUUCCCUCCUAUAUUUUGUAUUUUGUGUAUAUAAAUGCCUUGGAAAUUUUGUUCCGCAUAUAUGAACUUUUGACACAUCUAUAUAUAUACAUAUAUGCAUAUAUAGGCACACCCAAUGAAAUUUCCGUAAGUAUAUUACAUCUGAGUAGUUUUGAAGGCAAUCAAGUAUAUUCAUCCACAGGAAGCCAAGCAUACACUACAAUUAUGUGCAUGAAUACAUUUUUUAGAUAAUGAUGUGUAAUACGUACUGGCAGAUAAAAGGGGACUUGACAGAGGACAGAAAACAUUCAGAACUACAAACGGGUUUGGAGCUCAGACAUGAGAGACACAAACAACACUUUUAGUAUACACAUGCAUAAGGCAUACAAAUUAAGGAUUGGAUCAUUGGAAGGUAUCGGCAAUCAAGCUAGUUGCUUUGCAAUUUCUAACAGCUUCCCCACUACAAAAAGAGGCAGUAUUUAGGUAGCUAAAUCUUGCUGGUUUACUACAUUUUAGGCUGGUUUCUAUCUCAACUGGCUAGUGUGUUUUAUGUUCAAGCGAAUGCACUAUGGAGGGUGCGUGCAUGAUGCUGUCAGGCGCCUUGCAACUAUAUUACCCUGGCAUCUGCUUGAGUAAGCUCCAUUACAAGAAUCUAUCAUCAACGGUAGCACCGAUUUCCGAUAAAUUGAUCUGUCUUGUACAGAUCCGCUGAUCAAGAAACUUUCAUGUGCGAAGAAGAUCAGGGGGUACAAAAGAGAUAUCUGAAAAGUUUAUUCAAGACAAAUGAGAUCGUGCAGGAUACAACCAUUAGAAAUUUAGAAUUUAGCCAGGAUAUAAUUAACUUGAUAGUUGACAUGGCCAUAAUACCAAGUAUGCUUGUAGAAACAAUUUUUUCAGUGUUCUCCACUGAUGAUAUAAUCAAUUUAGACCUUCCAUCU